CCUACGGGGAGCUGCAGUGGGGAAUAUUGGACAAUGGGCGAAAGCCUGAUCCAGCCAUGCCGCGUGUGUGAAGAAGGCCUUCGGGUUGUAAAGCACUUUCAGUGGGGAAGAAAGCCUUGGGGCUAAUACCCUCGAGGAAGGACAUCACCCACAGAAGAAGCACCGGCUAACUCCGUGCCAGCAGCCGCGGUAAUACGUAGGGUGCGAGCGUUAAUCGGAAUUACUGGGCGUAAAGCGCGCGUAGGCGGUCUGAUAAGCCGGUUGUGAAAGCCCCGGGCUCAACCUGGGAACGGCAUCCGGAACUGUCAGGCUAGAGUGCAGGAGAGGAAGGUAGAAUUCCCGGUGUAGCGGUGAAAUGCGUAGAGAUCGGGAGGAAUACCAGUGGCGAAGGCGGCCUUCUGGACUGACACUGACGCUGAGGUGCGAAAGCGUGGGUAGCAAACAGGAUUAGAUACCCGGGUAGUC
rnacentral:rRNA from 1 species